ACAAAGUAGACAAAAAAGUAGACAUAAAGGUAGACAUAAAUGUAGACAUAAAGGUAGACAUAAAGGUAGACAUAAAGGUAGACAUAAAGGUAGACAUAAAGGCAGACAUAAAGGUAGACAUAAAGGUGGACAUAAAGGUAGACUUAAAGGUAGACAUAAAGGUAGACAUAAAUGUACACAUAAAGGCAGACACAAAAGUAAACAUAAAGAUAGACAUGAAUGUAAACAUAAAGAUAGACGUAAAGGUAGACAUAAAGGUAGACAUAAAGUAAGACAUAAAGGUAGACAUAAAUGUAGACAUAAACGUAGACAUAAAG